ACGGGAGGCAGCAGUGGGGGAUAUUGCACAAUGGGGGAAACCCUGAUGCAGCGACGCCGCGUGAGUGAUGAAGUAUUUCGGUAUGUAAAGCUCUAUCAGCAGGGAAGAUAAUGACGGUACCUGACUAAGGAGCACCGGCUAAAUACGUGCCAGCAGCCGCGGUAAUACGUAUGGUGCACGCGUUAUCCGGAUUUACUGGGUGUAAAGGGAGCGUAGACGGCGAGGCAAGCCAGAUGUGAAAGGCUGGGGCUCAACCCCGGGACUGCAUUUGGAACUGUCUGGCUAGAGUAUCGGAGAGGUAAGUGGAAUUCCUAGUGUAGCGGUGAAAUGCGUAGAUAUUAGGAGGAACACCAGUGGCGAAGGCGGCUUACUGGACGAUAACUGACGUUGAGGCUCGAAAGCGUGGGGAGCAAACAGGAUUAGAUACCCUGGUA
rnacentral:rRNA from 1 species